ACUGAUAGCACGUGUCGCGGAACCGUAAAUUUCUUGGAAUGGAAUUGAGGAUUCAGACAGCGAUAACCUUUCUCACAAUGUUCGUACUCUUAACAACGUACGCUUUACCUCAGACGAAUAAUUCGAGCACAAACGGUACGUUAGAAUUGGUAAUCCAUUCUAUUUGGGACACGGCACCACAGCGGUCAGAACUUUGUCCUAAAGGUGAGCAGUUUAAAGAUGGACGCUGUCGAAAAGUGUUGAAGUUUGGAUGUGCAAAUCAGGAGUGUGUUUAAAAUCAUAAUAAGCGAGUAAUAAAAUUAAUGUUUCGAAGUCAAAUUGGUGUAUAAGAUACUAAUACGAAAAUCUGAAACUGAUAACUAUCGUCAACUGCUAAUUCUUCAUUUAUAAGUUUUGAAUGUUCACAUUUUAAUAGCAACAAAAAUUUAUGAGACAUUCAUAGCUAUGGCAAUUAUCUGGUCUUUUUCCAAAGAUUGUUUGGUUUAUCAGAUGAAAACUAUGUUGAAAAAAAAAUUAUUCAUUGAUAUAAAGCUUAUGUUUACCGUUGUAUUAGUUUCCGUAAGAAACGAUAAGUGAACUAAAAUAAAAUAUAAUCAAACACUGACGUGACGAUCGUGUGUGUUGGGGAAAAUUGAUCAUUCAGGCCGAUAGUGGAAAAGAUUCAACUCAAAGUUAGCGAUUUUCUUGAACAGUGUAGUGCACUUCGCGUCCCAUUCGAAGUCAUGCAACUGUGGACGAUAUUUGCCGUUAUCCUCGUGGUUUCCUACAUUGGACACACAACAUCUUUCACCGCCGAUCAAUCCAUUGGGCCAUCGUUGGAAGACAACCACUCAGGAAACGAACUUCCGGAAAUUGAAAUGCGUGCUGUAUUCGUUAGAUCAAAAUUGGACUGCCUGAUCCGGUGUCGAGAAAACCAACGAUGUGUUGAUGGGCGCUGCCGAAGAUUGCUUUCGAGCUCUCGAUGGUGGCAGAGAGUAGAUCCGAAGAAAUCUAAUAGUUGAGUGACAGCAGCUGCUUUAAUUUGUUUAAAAUAAAAAUUCUUAACGGAAGGCUGCAGAGAUAGAUCAUAGACAUUCCAAUCUAGAUCGCUACGGAAUUUAUCUUAUCCAUAUCUAGCUUUACAUAGUAAGGAACAGUGUAAUUGAAAUUUGGUUGUAUGAUAAUUGUUAUCCUAACCCAUCAAUAAGUAGUACGUAAAUUUGCGAACGACGGAGAUAAUUAUCUCCUUCUGUACUGCAUUUUGCAAGGAACUUAGAAGCUUACAAAAAAUAGUGAUUUACGCUAGAUUUAUUGUAAUAGUUAUAAAUAGUGGGCCCGUGCAAGCUUUUUCAACGUGAAAGUAGGUUUAUGGGGUAGUACGUAAGAAUGUGAGACAACUAAGUUAUUGAAAAAAUGUGAUUGAUUAAUUGUAUGUUUAUUUUACCAAGGCUUUAACCUAUUUGGUCAUUCACAUGAGGAAAAGAAGGUGAUAAUACAUUAUAUUUUACAGAGUAUCAUGAUCAA